UGGGGAAUAUUGCACAAUGGGGGAAACCCUGAUGCAGCGACGCCGCGUGAGCGAUGAAGGCUUUCGAGUCGUAAAGCUCUGUCCUAUGGGAAGAUAAUGACGGUACCAUAGAAGAAAGCCCCGGCUAACUACGUGCCAGCAGCCGCGGUAAUACGUAGGGGGCUAGCGUUGUCCGGAAUCACUGGGCGUAAAGGGUUCGCAGGCGGAAAUGCAAGUCAGGUGUAAAAGGCAGUAGCUUAACUACUGUAAGCAUUUGAAACUGCAUAUCUUGAGAAGAGUAGAGGUAAGUGGAAUUUUUAGUGUAGCGAUGAAAUGCGUAGAUAUUAAAAAGAAUACCGGUGGCGAAAGCGGCUUUUUGGCCUGCAACUGACACUGAGGCGCGAAAGCGUGGGGAGCAAACAGG
rnacentral:rRNA from 1 species